rnacentral:rRNA from 1 species
AUUGAACGCUGGCGGCAGGCUUAACACAUGCAAGUCGAGCGCGCGGCGGACGCGUGUGUAAUGUCCGGGAGACUGCCUGAUGGAGAGGGGUAUCAACAGGAGACGGUAGCUCUAACCGCAUACCCUCUGAUGUGACCCGAUGGGAUAUGCUAGAUGGUGGGGGAAUGGCUCACCUAGGCGACGAUCCCUAGCUGGUCUGAGAGGAUGACCAUCCACACUGGGACUGAGACACGGUCCAGACUCCUACGGGAGGCAGCAGUGGGGAAUAUUGCACAAUGGGCGCAAGCCUGAUGCAGCCAUGCCGCGUGUGUGAAGAAGGCCUUCGGGUUGUAAAGUACUUUCAGCAGGGAGGCGUUACCCGCAGAAGAAGCACCGGCUAACUCCGUGCCAGUAGCCGCGGUAAUAC